GACGAACGCUGGCGGCGAGCCUAACACAUGCAAGUCGAGCGAAUGAAAUUCCUUCGGGAACGGAUUUAGUGGCGGACGGGUGAGUAACGCGUAAAGAAUCUGCCCUUUAGUUUGGGAUAACCUUUGGAAACGAAGGCUAAUACCGGAUAUUAUGGAGACGUCGCAUGGCGACUCCAUGAAAGCUAUAUGCGCUAGAGGAGGACUUUGCGUCCCAUUAGUUAGUUGGUGAGGUAAUGGCUCACCAAGACCGCGAUGGGUAGCCGGCCUGAGAGGGUGAUCGGCCACAAGGGAACUGAGACACGGUCCUUACUCCUACGGGAGGCAGCAGUGGGGAAUAUUGGACAAUGGGCCACAAGCCUGAUCCAGCAAUUCUGUGUGCACGAUGAAGGUCUUCGGAUUGUAAAGUGCUUUCAGUAGGGAAGAAAAAAAUGACGGUACCUACAGAAGAAGCGACGGCUAAAUAUGUGCCAGCCGCCGCCGUAACAC
rnacentral:rRNA from 1 species